rnacentral:rRNA from 1 species
UACGAAGGGGGCCAGCGUUGCUCGGAAUCACUGGGCGUAAAGGGUGCGUAGGCGGGUCUUUAAGUCGAGGGGUGAAAUCCUGGAGCUCAACUCCAGAACUGCCUUUGAUACUGAAGAUCUUGAGUUCGGGAGAGGUGAGUGGAACUGCGAGUGUAGAGGUGAAAUUCGUAGAUAUUCGCAAGAACACCAGUGGCGAAGGCGGCUCACUGGCCCGAUACUGACGCUGAGGCACGAAAGCGUGGGGAGCAAACAGGG